CCCUUCCAUUUCUUCCCUCCAGCCCCAGACCAACAGCACCAAAGGCAGUGCUGGCGUCACCAGCCCCAAGGGGACCCUCCCGCCCACCGCUCUGGAGCCUCAAACUACUGUAAUUCAUAACCCCCCGGACGGCACCAAGGAGUCCUCCGACAGCACCAACACCACCAUUGAGGACGAGGACACCAAAGCCCGCAAGCAGGAGAUCAUCAAGAUCACGGAGCAGCUCAUCGAGGCCGUCAACAACGGGGACUUCGAGGCCUAUGCGUGAGUGGG